rnacentral:rRNA from 1 species
GACGAACGCUGGCGGCGUGCUUAACACAUGCAAGUCGAACGGAAAGGCCCUGCUUUUGCGGGGUGCUCGAGUGGCGAACGGGUGAGUAACACGUGAGUAACCUGCCCUUGACUUUGGGAUAACUUCAGGAAACUGGGGCUAAUACCGGAUAGGAGCUCCUGCUGCAUGGUGGGGGUUGGAAAGUUUCGGCGGUUGGGGAUGGACUCGCGGCUUAUCAGCUUGUUGGUGGGGUAGUGGCUUACCAAGGCUUUGACGGGUAGCCGGCCUGAGAGGGUGACCGGCCACAUUGGGACUGAGAUACGGCCCAGACUCCUACGGGAGGCAGCAGUGGGGAAUAUUGCACAAUGGGCGGAAGCCUGAUGCAGCAACGCCGCGUGCGGGAUGACGGCCUUCGGGUUGUAAACCGCUUUCGCCUGUGACGAAGCGUGAGUGACGGUAAUAGGUAAAGAAGCACCGGCUAACUACGUG